AGCUGUGGGGUAAGAUCUGCAGCACCAGGCACUUCACUGGACUGCAUAGUGAGGUAACUGUCCUUUCAUGAUGUGGCUCUGAGCUUUCAUCCUGACCUUUCUCACUGCUUGUCUGUCUCAGGGGCACACAUCCUCAGCACCAGUGGUGGACACUGUUCAUGGCAAAGUCCUGGGGAAGUAUGUGAGCUUAGAAGGAUUCUCACAGCCUGUGGCUGUCUUCCUGGGAGUUCCCUAUGCCAAGCCUCCUCUUGGAUCCCUGAGGUUUGCUCCACCACAGCCUGCAGAGUCCUGGAACUUCGUGAAGAAUGCCACCUCCUACCCCCCUAUGUGCUCCCAAGACCCAGCGGCAGGACAGAUGCUCUCAGCACUCUUAACCAACAGAAAGGAGAGCAUUUCUCUCACGUUUUCUGAAGACUGUCUCUAUCUGAAUAUUUACACUCCUGCCGACUUGACCAAGAGCAAUAGGCUGCUAGUAAGCAUGGGGACCACUGGUCCAGAAUUGUGGGUUGCAACAUCCGGCUGUUCUGUGCCACUGGAAGGGGAUGAGGGAAGCUGCAGGCAGGAGUACUACAGAUAAGAACUGAGUCACAGGCACAAAGAAGGCAGCCUUUGGUGGAGGUUGCUGUGCAUCUGAGAUACACAUCUUAAUUUUCCAAACCUUCUCACACUAAAAGUAAUGUAACUAGUAACAAUGCCCAAUUUGAAUUGUUAUGAUAAGAAAUUGUUCUCCAGAGUAGGUGUAGGAUAAUUUUCAUGAGACUCAAAGCUGAAUGUAAAGAGAAAAUUGAGCAGUCCAUGUGAUCCCUUUUAAAAAAUAUGAAUAGAUUUGAUUUAAUUAUGUAUUCAGUGUAGUCCCAAUGCAUA